UGAGAACUAGGCCUGGAGACCUUCAGCCCUGCAUGAGAUCCUCAAUUACUUUGAAGAAAAUCUGUCUUAUUUAGUUAACUAAAAAUGCAGAAUAUACAUAGUAGAAAUUUUGAGGCAUUUUUCAGCCCCCAAUCUCCACCUGGGUCUAGAUGCUGAGGGGGAAAUGGGGACAUUCAUUCUCCAGGCUACAUCAGGUACCCCCCCCUGUUGCUCACAGUUUCUUUCCUUGCUUAGUUGCUACUGCCUUUCCUAAAAGCAAAAGCAGACUUUUCUCAGCUCUCCAGGCUGUCCUAAACUGGCACCUAUAUUUUCAAGUCUUUUAUUGUUAUCCCACCCUUAAACUGUGCAGGCACCUGGCACCAAGUUGUGCUCCCUCAGUGAGUUGCUGACAAACCUGUG
rnacentral:lncRNA from 1 species